CCAUGGGAGUCUGAUUUUAAGGGGGCUUGUUGGAAGUGGAAUAUUUCAAUAUUUUAUUAUUUGUUUUCGCUUGUAUUUAUCAAAUUGCUAUAUUCUAGGUUUUCAUAAAUCAACAACACCGUGCCAACUAAAUAAAGGAGUUUGUUUUCCGACAGAUUUGUGAAGCAUCGCUAUGCAGGCAAAUACUGGAUUUAUUACGGUUAUCCAGCAACCUGUGACCGAAACAGUAACGCUAAAAUUUCGCCAUCCCAUUCAGAGGAACAUUGUGAAAGCCACCGCCAUAAUCCAAAUUGUUUUUGGCUUCAUUUGUAUCGGUUUGGGAAUCUGGAUAUCUGUGCAACGAGCCAACCCACUAAUUCAAAGUCAAACCGGAACCGCUUCUCUUUCUGCUUUAAGUGCAUGUCUGUACAUUCCUUCGGGAGCAGUCGGUUUACAAGCAGCCUCCAAAAAUAACAUAUGCGCAGUAA